AUUGAACGCUGGCGGCAGGCCUAACACAUGCAAGUCGAGCGAGCGGCGGACGGGUGAGUAAUGUCUGGGAAACUGCCUGAUGGAGGGGGCUAACUACUGGAAACGGUAGCUAAUACCGCAUACCAUCAGAUGUGCCCAGAUGGGAUUAGCUAGUAGGUGGGGUAAUGGCUCACCUAGGCGACGAUCCCUAGCUGGUCUGAGGGGAUGACCAGCCACACGGGAACUGAGACACGGUCCAGACUCCGACGGGAGGCAGCAGUGGGGAGUAUUGCACAAGGGGCGCAGGCCUGAUGCAGCCAUGCGGGGUGUGUGAGGAGGGCCUUCGGUUUGUAAAGCACUUUCAGCGAGGAGGCGUUACUCGCAGAAGAAGCACCGGCUAACUCCGUGCCAGCAGCCGGGUAAUUC
rnacentral:rRNA from 1 species